CAGCAGCCGCGGUAAUACGUAGGGUGCGAGCGUUAAUCGGAAUUACUGGGCGUAAAGCGUGCGCAGGCGGUUAUAUAAGACAGAUGUGGAAUCCCCGGGCUCAACCUGGGACCUGCAUUUGUGACUGUAUAGCUAGAGUACGGUAGAGGGGGAUGGAAUUCCGCGUGUAGCAGUGAAAUGCGUAGAUAUGCGGAGGAACACCGAUGGCGAAGGCAAUCCCCUGGACCUGUACUGACGCUCAUGCACGAAAGCGUGGGGAGCAAACAGGAUUAGAUACCCGGGUAGUCCCUGUCUCUUAUAC
rnacentral:rRNA from 1 species